GGGGCUAAAUGAUGAUCUUGAAAAGGGCCCUCACUCGUGAGCCUUCGCCAUGUGCCAGUCACUAUGCUGAGCACCUUGCAGGAGCUUCAGGUCCAGGCCUUGGGGGUCAGCAGGGCAAGCCUGAGCCCUGUGGUGCUGUGGGAAGACUUGGUUCAAGUGACACUGAGCCUGGGACAAAGUGCGGUUGAUGGCUCUUGUUUUCCCUGGCCCUUCAGAUUGCCUUUGGGAAACCACCCAACCCUCACUCCCCUCCACCCACGUGCAUUGCAUGGGGCUAAUUCUACCCCAGGCCCUGACUCCAAGUAUGAUCACCUGAUCCAGACCUGGCCAAUCAGCCUGUUCUGUCCCCCAGGCCACAGUGAUUUGUUUAGGGAUGAUCAUGUGACCUACAGAAAGCUUCAGGAUAGUGGCUUCCUUGGGUAGGGGAGGCUGAUGGUCAGACAGGGAAGAAGCCCACAGACAGAUGCAAGUGCUGGUUAAUGUUCUGAUUCUUGUGUUGGAUGACCAGGUCUUGGGUGUUUAUUUAUAUAAAUAAACAGAGGAGAACCGUUUAUGAACCUAUGGCAAGAGGAUGGCGUGAAUAAGGGAUCAUGAUUAAUAGAAUUCAGAGACAAAGGGAGAGAAAACAAACAAAAAACACCUCUGGAACUUGUUGGAGCUCUUGGAAAAGAAAAGCUGUGAGUGGAUGUUCAAGAGGGUAACCUAGGGCCUCAUGCAUUGGGGCAUUCAGAAGUUUCGUACUGGAUCAAAAACAACGAAUGAAGCCUGCAGUGCAGAGAAAACAUUGUG
ensembl:lncRNA LINC02704 long intergenic non-protein coding RNA 2704